UACGAAGGGGGCUAGCGUUGUUCGGAAUUACUGGGCGUAAAGCGCGCGCAGGCGGCUAUCCAAGUCAGUGGUGAAAGCCCGGAGCUCAACUCCGGAACUGCCAUUGAUACUGUUUAGCUUGAGUACGAGAGAGGUAAGUGGAAUUCCCAGUGUAGCGGUGAAAUGCGUAGAUAUUGGGAAGAACACCGGUGGCGAAGGCGGCUCACUGGCUCGUAUCUGACGCUCAGGCGCGACAGCGUGGGUAUCAAACAGG
rnacentral:rRNA from 1 species